rnacentral:lncRNA from 1 species
GGAUAGUUUAAGACUAGAUAGUAUUUCAUACCCUAGAUACAAAUAAAUUCUUUUUUUCACAAGAAGUUAUGGAUUACAUUUAUAAAAUAUGAAGCCAAACGUUAAUAUAUAUUUGUUUGUUGGAAGCCACCACAACAAGAACAAUCAAAAUGCAAUACAUAUGGGGCAAUCUAGACAGUAGAUCCUAUGGCUUCUAUAUGAGAAUCAUAACAGAGAAUUAGUGUAUGUCAAAAGAUAGGAAGUUUAUUAAAUUGCCAACAUAGAGGAAAAGGCAUUUGUUAUAGGGCAGCAAUAUAUCAUUAUGUCUCGAUGGGGAUUUCCAAGGAAAAAAUAGAAAUUGACUUGCUAGUCCUUGUUCAAAUUCUUUCAAGGUAGUGAGAUGUAACAUGUCACAUAACAAAUCUAGUUGAGCACAUCAUGAAGUUAUCACAAACAAUCCAUGUGCUACUAACACAUAUCUACAGAGAAGUAAUCACACUAGCAUAUUACAUUGUCAUUCAAGCCUUUGGUAAGAAAGAAAUAAUCAUUUUUACUACAUUUAUAACAUUACCAAAUAAAACAGAGAUAUUUUGAAUUUUCUCUAGCAACAAAUGUCCAACAAAAGGAUAAAAACUAAAAAUAUAAAUCAGAAUAUUAGGGAAGGAGAGGAACACAUCAUCAUAAGACUACAAGUACAAUUUUUUUUUGUCGGAUGGUCAUACACCGACAAAAUACAAAGGUGAGGGAUUUAACUAAAGACCAACAUCAAAUACACAAGUGAACGAUUGAGCUAAUGCUUCAACACAGAUUCAACCUACAAUGUCAUAUCUAUUAAAUAAGUUAUAGGGGAGUGAGUAAAUCAAGAUAAAUCGGUACCAGAGAAGAAAAAUGAUGAAUUGUAUCAUUGGCACAAAAGUCUCUCGGAUCUGCGACACCCAAAAGGGGAACACUCGUAGUGCACUCACCGCAUAGAUUGACAAAAAAAUCAAGAUAGCAAAUCCUUAUUGUUUCGUAGAAUAAAUUUUUCCUCAAAGCUGCUACAACAUCAAAUACAAUUUAGUAAUGAAGGAGUAGAAGGAAGAAUAUGAAGAGGAACACAAGGAAAUACUCACAGACUAGAAAAAAAAGCUCAACUCCUUGACCAUCAUAGCAGAUCCAAAGCUUUCAUGGGAGCACAUAGGUUUGAGUCAAAUACAAAUAUUUGUUUCCAGAUGUGACUCUGGUGUGGACAAAUGAGAUAUUAUAU